rnacentral:lncRNA from 1 species
GUCAGGUCACUUUCACAAUUCACAAGUAAGACUAACAAACCGGGAAUUCUUUCAUUUGAAAUUCAAAAACCUCUCUCAUUUAGCUUCCUCUCUUUUUUCGAUUAUUUCAUUUCUCCCUCUCUUUUGACAAACUCAGAGAACGAAUGAUGAAGCAGAGAACACGACUGCAACGAAGGUAUGCACUUCAGAUCCAUUUUUCGUUUUUUGAUUUAUAGAUUCAUAUUUAUUUUUGAAUUCCAGAUCUAUUCUAUUUUUUUUCUUCAAUUUACGUUGAUGAUGCUUCUUCAUUCCUCACAUCGUGUUUUUUUUUUGUUUUCUUCUUCUUCAUGUGCAAUCAGAGAUUGCUGCUGACGAAUCUGAGAAAAAAGGUAUGUCAUUUAACAGUAUUAGCUUU